CUCUGCGGCGGAACGGGAGGGGGACACCUUUGGGUGUGCUGGCCUCGUUUGACCAGUCUGUCAACCCUCUUUCGUUCUGCCACCAUA
rnacentral:antisense_RNA from 13 species